GGAGGAGGACCCGGCGCUGCACGGGACCGGCGGGGAAAGGUAAGCGCUCAUUACAACGUGUACAUUUUAUUUUCUGGUAACAUGUUAUCAGUUGACUUAACCAGAACAUUUAACCUGUUAUUAUGACAGGUUAUUAUGACAUUUCGUGAUGUUCCAGGAUAGUAUGUGCUUAUGCUGUUCUUUGUACUGUUACAGAUCAAAUGUCAAUGUUUGUCUAUCUCUCAG